GACGUUUAAAUAUAAUUACUAGACGGAAAGCAGCACGCGCGGAAACCAUGCAGACGAAUGGGAUUAGGCUCCGCCUCUUUUGGAUCAUUUGAAGACAAAAUGGCACCCGAGGCGGCUUUUUGAUUGGAUAUGAGCCUCAUGAAUAUGUAUUUUAUCGAUAGUAUCGUUUAAGAAACCGGAUGAUAUAUUUGACCUCAUGCGCGUCACUUUAAUUAUGCAGAUUUAUGCACGACGCAGGCUACUCGCACAAACUGAGAAGAUUUUAGUUCAUUGAGAAUGGAUGGAAACUGAUGAAGAGCUGGAAGGAGUUAAAUGAUGAGUAGACAUUACAACAUUUCUUAUAUUUGCAAGAAGAAGCUGAAAGUCCCAUGCAGGAUGAUGCUUCUCUACAGUGGAUGAUGAAAGCAUGCUGAUUACAAACCCAGGAGAGGAAUAAAGAACACAUAUUGACAGAAUCAUAUCUAGAGAUGUGGGCCUACUGCACUUCAUACAAGCAAGUGUGCUAAUAUACCAUACUUGGGUUAUCAUCACAGCCCUUUCUUCUGAAAACUAGCCUACAACUUCAUCGAUGAAUGCAGAAGACAUCUACAUGGGACUACGUCUUAAAGAUGCCC